rfam:Myotis brandtii contig292105, whole genome shotgun sequence.
GGUGGUUCUCGGGUGAUGCACCCCAGAAUCGGGUUCCCUCCUCUCUGGUUCCAGGUGUGUCACCUGAGAACCGCA